AAGCUCAAAUUUGAAAUCUGGCACCUUCGGUGUCCGAGUUGUAAUUUGAAGAAGGUAACUUUGGAGUUGGCUCUUGUCUAUGUUCCUUGGAACAGGACGUCACAGAGGGUGAGAAUCCCGUGCGAUGAGAUGCCCAAUUCUAUGUAAAGUGCUUUCGAAGAGUCGAGUUGUUUGGGAAUGCAGCUCUAAGUGGGUGGUAAAUUCCAUCUAAAGCUAAAUAUUGGCGAGAGACCGAUAGCGAACAAGUACAGUGAUGGAAAGAUGAAAAGAACUUUGAAAAGAGAGUGAAAAAGUACGUGAAAUUGUUGAAAGGGAAGGGCUUGAGAUCAGACUUGGUAUUUUGCGAUCCUUUCCUUCUUGGUUGGGUUCCUCGCAGCUUACUGGGCCAGCAUCGGUUUGGAUGGUAGGAUAAUGACUAAGGAAUGUGGCUCUACUUCGGUGGAGUGUUAUAGCCUUGGUUGAUACUGCCUGUCUAGACCGAGGACUGCGUCUUUUGACUAGGAUGUUGGCAUAAUGAUCUUAAGCCACCCGUCUUGAAACACGGACCAAGGAGUCUAACGUCUAUGCGAGUGUUUGGGUGUAAAACCCGUACGCGUAAUGAAAGUGAACGUAGGUGAGAGCUCUUAAGAGUGCAUCAUCGACCGAUCCUGAUGUCUUCGGAUGGAUUUGAGUAAGAGCAUAGCUGUUGGGACCCGAAAGAUGGUGAACUAUGCCUGAAUAGGGUGAAGCCAGAGGAAACUCUGGUGGAGGCUCGUAGCG
rnacentral:rRNA from 1 species